ensembl:lncRNA
UUUUUUUUUUUUUUUUUUUUUUUUUUUUUACUGUUUGCUUGUAUAUGCUUUUAUUUCCUUUAAUCCAAAUGGUGAUGUCUGUCAUUGUCUUUUUUAGGAAAGAUGUUUUUAAUGACUUUUCACACCAAUUUGGAGAUGUAAUGGAGUCACAGGACUACUGUAAGUGCUGUUUUUUCUUAAGGCCAGUUUAUAGCUGCUGUGCUUUAUCAAUUAAGAGAUUUUUCCAUAUGUAGGCCUACCAUAAUAUUACAGACCCAUACCAGCCAUUACCAGCCCAAUUCCAAAGCAAUACAUACAUGUUUGAGCAGGAAAAACACACUUUGGAGAAGGUGAUGAGUUCUGCAAGUACAGGAAAAAGGCAGAUCUUCUUGGCUGAAAAAGAAACUUUUUUUUCUUCUUCUUCUUUGUUUGUUUCUACAGAUGGACACAGAGACUUCAGACUUAAGUUCACUCAAAAAAAUAGGGAUGGUAUUGUUUACAUUUUAUCACUAUUGAUACCAAUACUGCUUAUCGAUACCGGUACAGAUACGGUUAUCAAUACUAUUUGGUGCAAUAAGAUGAUUUGAAAAGUUAUUUUAAUACUGCUGAAUUUUUAGUAACUGUAUUAAAAUUCUUCAGUCAAGAGCAGUGAGUUAUUUUUCUCUUUGUGUUUUAUUUUAUUAACACUGAAUGAAUAGUUCACCUAAAAAUUUAAAUUUUGUCAUUUACUCACUCUCAAGUUGUUUAAAACCUGAACCUAAACCUGUUAUUUUGAAGAAUGUGGAAAACCAAACAGCUGCUGGUGCCCAGUGACUUCCAUAUUUUUUUUUCCUACCAACAAAGUCAACUGUUUGGUUACGCACAUUCUUCAAAAUAUCUUCUUUUGUGUUCAGCACAAGAAUGAAAUUAAUACAGGUUUGGUACAACAUGACAGGGAGUAAAUAAUGACUGAAUUUUUAAAGGGGUCAUAUGAUGCGAUUUCAAGUUUUCGUCCACACACUCCUAAAAUGGCAAGUUUAAACAUGCCCCCACAUGUCUAUGUCACGAUGUGGGAAGAUUACAUAACACCGCCCAAAUGUUCAAGCAAAGAAAGAAGGCGUAACCUUUGAUUCUCGCUGUUGCCGCCGGCGCCAUGUUGUGGAGAUGCUGUUUCAUUGUGAAAGCGAAAAUACUUUGUUUGGCCUUCCAAAAGAGGACACAACUAGAAAUCAGUGGUUAAGUUGUAUUUACAACACUGUUCCAGAACAGUUCAAUCCGAAUAUUCAGAUGUGUGCAGCACAUUUUAUGGGGGACUGUUUCCUGAUCAUGGGAGAGUAGACUACAAUCAAUGCCGGCUGUUCUGACUCACAGUCUGUAAAUACAGAGUUCUGGCAUGAAACUCUAGAUGGCGCAGUCUGAUAGGUCUAACUCAAUCGACCUAAUGAAAUCAUUAUCACAUUGCACAGCUGAUUGGUUUUCUCCUGUAUCCGUAGCCAAUGAGCUCACUGCUCAAUAUUCAAAUACCUGGCUUUGUUUGCUGUAGCAGUCGGCAGCGCAUGUCAGAAAGGCUGAAAUCAACAUCUAAGCUAAAUGAAUGCUCUUUUAAUU